rnacentral:rRNA from 1 species
UACACUCCUACGGGAGGCAGCAGUGGGGAAUAUUGCACAAUGGGCGCAAGCCUGAUGCAGCCAUGCCGCGUGUAUGAAGAAGGCCUUCGGGUUGUAAAGUACUUUCAGCGGGGAGGAAGGGAGUAAAGUUAAUACCUUUGCUCAUUGACGUUACCCGCAGAAGAAGCACCGGCUAACUCCGUGCCAGCAGCCGCGGUAAUACGGAGGGUGCAAGCGUUAAUCGGAAUUACUGGGCGUAAAGCGCACGCAGGCGGUUUGUUAAGUCAGAUGUGAAAUCCCCGGGCUCAACCUGGGAACUGCAUCUGAUACUGGCAAGCUUGAGUCUCGUAGAGGGGGGUAGAAUUCCAGGUGUAGCGGUGAAAUGCGUAGAGAUCUGGAGGAAUACCGGUGGCGAAGGCGGCCCCCUGGACGAAGACUGACGCUCAGGUGCGAAAGCGUGGGGAGCAAACAGGAUUAGAAACCCCAGUAGUCC